rnacentral:lncRNA from 10 species
CUUAGGCUCUGCGGGCUGAGGAGGAAGGAGGGCGGGCUGGCGGGCGGGGGCGGGACGCCGAGGGGAGGAGGAGGAGGCGGCUCGGAUGGCUGGCUCGGCUCUCGCUCGCUCUCCCUCCCAUGGUAUCUUUUGCUGCCUCUUACGUAUUGUAGGCAGUGCCUGAUGGCUGAGAAGAAUCGCAGAGGACUAGAAAAGGUUUGAGUCUGAAAUUAUCUGGCACAGAGGAUUAAAGCUCAGAAAUAAGUGAUUGCGAAACAGUUCAACUUCCCUGUUAAUGACAACAACAACAGCAACACGCUUAUUAAUUCCUAGCUGGAGCAUCAAGCUUAUGAAGAUUUCCAAGACUUUAUUGUUGACCCUUGUUGAAGAGAACUCUACUUGGCUUCUUUCCUGGCUUUCCUAAAUUGUUCACAUACAAGAUAAACUACCGUCAUUCAGACUUACAGAAGUGAGAAGACAAGCUGAACCAAAUGUAAAAUGGUAGCAAUUUACAGAUGUCAGAACUAACAUGUGGAUGAACUUAGAGAUGGAGAAGAAAGCUGGGCUUUUCCAAAGAGUGGAUCUAUCUGAACUGGAUAGCACUAUUGAACUUUGUUGCAUAUUUUGUGGUAGCUCUAAAACUCCUCUGCUUGCUUACAUACAACCAGACACCAGUGCCUUCUGAAGCUAAUCCAGGCCAUUUUUAUAACCUAAUGCAGUAGCACUUUGCAAUUAGAUGAAGAAGAUCGGUGGGAUUUCUUUCUGUGGUGAUUAAAAUGUGUCAGGGGAAGAAAUCAAGACAAUACUCCAAGUGAAAAAUAUAAAGUCAGUUAUUUCUUUAAUAUUUUGUGUUAUAGUAAUCAUUUUUAUAUUUUGAGCAUACUUUUUCUUGUCUACUUAAAUACUCAAAAUUAAUUAUAAAAUGUAAAUGUAAGCACAAUGAGAUACCAUCUCAUCCCAGUUAAAAUGGCUUUUAUCAAAAAGAUAGGGAAUAAUGAAUACUGGUGGAAGGAUGUGGAGAAUGGGGAACCCUCGUACACUGUCAAUGAGAAUGUAAAUUAGUACAGCCACUAUGGAAAACUGUAUGGAAGUGCCUCCGAAAACAAAGUAGAACUACCAUGUGAUCCAGCAAUUACACUAGUGGGUAUAUAUUCAAAAGAAAGGAAAUCAACAUAUUAAAGAGAUAGCUGCAUUCUCAUGUUUAUUGAAGUCCUGUUGAAAUAGCCAAAAUAUGGAAUCAACCUAAGUGCCCAUCAGUGGAUGAAUGGUUAAAGAAAAUGUGAUUGAUAUGCAAUGGAAUAUUAUUCAGCCAUAAAAAAGAAUGAAAUCCUGGCGGGGCACAGUGGCUCAUGCAAGUAAUCCCAGCACUGACCUCAUGAAGACAGAGAGUAGAUUGGUGGUUACCAGAGGUUGAGAAGGGGAGAGGAGAGGAGGGAUGAAGAGAGGUUGAUUGAUGGAUAGAAAUAUACAGUUUGAUAAUGAUAAAUCAGUAGGGUGACUAUAGUUUAUAAUAACCUAUUGUAUGGUUCAAAAUAGCUAAAAGAGAAUAAUUGAAAUAACGUAAGACAAAAAUUUAAGAUGAUAGAUAUCCCAAUUACACUGAUUUGAUCUUUACAAAUUAUAUGAAUGUAUUAAAUUAUUACAUGUAUCCCCAAAAUAUGUACAAGUAUUUUGUAUCAAUAAAAAAUAAAAUUUAAGAUAAAGUAAAUGUAAUGAUUAGCUUAUAUUUCCUAGAUCGGAAAUAAAUAUUUACUUAAGUAUGUUUAUGAUGAAGAGUUUUUUUAUAUUACUAUAAAAAUAGACACCUUACAUAAACAUAUUACAGUUGGUGUUUAGAUGGCUCUUUUUUUUCUGGCCUUGAAUUUCUGGAAAGUAGGUAUGGCCUGCUAUGUCAGGACUAGUUCUUGGAAUUCUUUGUUGU